AAUCGUGAUGAUAUAAAAGCACCGCUCAGACAUUUACACGUGGGCCUGUACUGCUGAACACAAUUUGUUUUAAUGUUAAAUAACAGUCACUGUUGAUCUGUGGACACCUGCUCUAUCUGUGACUGACAGGUUAGCUGUUACAUGAGUAUCUUCUCCUCUGCUUCUCAUUUCACUGCUUUGAUGCAGAAGUCGACUUUUCCCUCGUAGGGGUCGUGGAAGUUUUGGUAGCUGAUCUUUGUGGAGACCACUCUGCACUGGAUCUUGGCCGCCCUCUUUUUGACCAGGCUGAAACGCACGGCCACCAGCGGGUUCACAUAUAUGUGUUUCUCCUCUCUCCUUCCUGUCCCUCCCCACAGAUUUUGAGGCACUCUCAGGGCCGAGAUAAGGUGCAUACGGAGGCUGAGGCGGGCCAACGUAGAAACAGGUGAACUUGACGUCCUUCACUCCUCGGAGAAACGUGAGGAUCACCUUGAACAGCCAGGCGGGCUUCGUUUAUAAUGACAACAGACAAGGUGAAGCACUGCAGAUUUAAAUUUCACACAUCGAAACAUAAACUAAAGCGCUCAUCCGUUUGAUUCUGUACUUGACAAAGAGCCAGUUUGGGUUGGAACAUUUAACUGAAGUAAUAAGGAAGGAAAGUAAGUUUAGAUCAACGUUAAGUGUCAAAAAUGAUUUUCUCUGCCUGCCGAACGAGCUAUUUUACACAAAUGGACGACUCUGUCCCUCCCUCACACUGGAUUAGAGAUAUUAUGUCCUGUAUGAAUCUAGAGAAAAUUAGAUAUACUGUCCAGGGAACGGAGAGUUAAUUUUACAAGUGUGGCAACCAUUCUUAACAAUUUUUGAAAAUCCCACUAUACAGUCAUCUCAGAGUAGCUUUUUGUUUUUGUAUUUUCUUUUCCACAAUUGUUAUUUAUGCAUCUCAUUCCUCUAUCCUAAUAAUUAAUCUGUGCAUUUUUUAAAUUUCAGUUAUUUCUAUAUUUAUUUUUAUUGUUAUUACUGUUUUUUGUUUGCUUUUUUCCCCCCUCAAUUCACUGGAUUUUGAUUUUCUUUCAAUGUAAAGAUAAUUUCUUUGUCUUGUAAUUUACUACGACAUGUACUAUAACUAUAAUUUAAAGUUUAUUUGUCCAUGAUUUAACAUUUUCUUCUGAUUUAGCUGUUUGUCUGUUUUGUUUUGUUUUGUUUUGUUUUGUUUUUUUUGCUGGAUAGUUGGAUGGGUUGUGACAAGAGUGUGUGUUGUUUCUUUUGUCUUUGUACAGUUAACUGUUUUAUUCCUGAAUAACAAUUAAUAAAAAGACCUUGGAAAGAAAAUAUACUAUGUAUUAUGACAUACAAAAUACUAAAUAACACAUCCAGGGUCCCUAUCAUUUUUUUUCUAAUAAGGGGCAGCUGCAAGAUCCCUGUUUCUAACACAUCUGGAGGGCUGGAGUCUAUAUUUCUCUAUAUUUAAAAACGGAUUUAUUGUAACUAUUAUUUCCAUUCUUUCUGCUCCGAUUGACUUUUUUUCCUGUCCUAUCACGAUCUCAUGAUAAAUGCUAAAAUUGACACAGGAUUCCAGAAAAAAAGAGUAAUUCUUUAAAUGGAAUAUCUUAAGUUUUUU